UCCUGGGGGCAGGCUACCAUGCAAGUCGAGCGGUAGCACAGAGAAGCUUGCUUCUUGGGUGACGAGCGGCGGACGGGUGAGUAAUGCAUAGGAAUCUGCCCGAUAGUGGGGGAUAACCUGGGGAAACCCAGGCUAAUACCGCAUACGUCCUACGGGAGAAAGGGGGCUCCGGCUCCCGCUAUUGGAUGAGCCUAUGUCGGAUUAGCUAGUUGGUGAGGUAAAGGCUCACCAAGGCAACGAUCCGUAGCUGGUCUGAGAGGAUGAUCAGCCACAUCGGGACUGAGACACGGCCCGAACUCCUACGGGAGGCAGCAGUGGGGAAUAUUGGACAAUGGGCGCAAGCCUGAUCCAGCCAUGCCGCGUGUGUGAAGAAGGCCCUCGGGUUGUAAAGCACUUUCAGCGAGGAAGAACGCCUAGCGGUUAAUACCCGCUAGGAAAGACAUCACUCGCAGAAGAAGCACCGGCUAACUCCGUGCCAGCAGCCGCGGUAAUACGGAGGGUGCAAGCGUUAAUCGGAAUUACUGGGCGUAAAGCGCGCGUAGGUGGCUUGAUAAGCCGGUUGUGAAAGCCCCGGGCUCAACCUGGGAACGGCAUCCGGAACUGUCAAGCUAGAGUGCAGGAGAGGAAGGUAGAAUUCCCGGUGUAGCGGUGAAAUGCGUAGAGAUCGGGAGGAAUACCAGUGGCGAAGGCGGCCUUCUGGACUGACACUGACACUGAGGUGCGAAAGCGUGGGUAGCAAACAGGAUUAGAUACCCUGGGUAGUCA
rnacentral:rRNA from 1 species